GCUUCGGUAGCUCAGUUGGUAGAGCACUUGCCCGCGGAAGGCAAAGGUCCCGAGUUCGAGUCUCGGUCGGACACA
rnacentral:tRNA from 1 species